rnacentral:rRNA from 1 species
UACGUAGGGUGCGAGCGUUAAUCGGAAUUACUGGGCGUAAAGCGUGCGCAGGCGGUUUUGUAAGCCAGAUGUGAAAGCCCCGGGCUCAACCUGGGAAUGGCAUUUGGGACUGCAAGGCUCGAGUGCGGCAGAGGAGACUGGAAUUCCUGGUGUAGCAGUGAAAUGCGUAGAUAUCAGGAGGAACACCGAUGGCGAAGGCAGGUCUCUGGGCUGACACUGAUGCUCAUGCACGAAAGCGUGGGGAGCAAACAGG